rnacentral:rRNA from 1 species
UGCCUACGGGGGGCAGCAGUGGGGAAUAUUGCACAAUGGGGGGAACCCUGAUGCAGCGACGCCGCGUGGGUGAAGAAGUCAUUCGUGACGUAAAGCCCUAUCAGCAGGGAAGAAAAUGACGGUACCUGACUAAGAAGCCCCGGCUAACUACGUGCCAGCAGCCGCGGUAAUACGUAGGGGGCGAGCGUUGUCCGGAAUGACUGGGCGUAAAGGGUGUGUAGGCGGUUUAUUAAGUUAGAAGUGAAAUACCUAGGGCUUAACCCAGGUGCUGCUUCUAAAACUGAUAGACUUGAGUGCAGUAGAGG